CCUUGACUGGCAACAGCACUGUGAAAUUUUUUCGUAACAAUGUGGAAAUAAUUCCUAGCGACAGAAUCAAAGUCAACGGAACAUUUCUCAUCAUGUCCGAUUUAAAAGUGUUGGAUGGUGGGCGAUAUUCAUGUAUUUUUGAUCAAAAUGGUAAAGAGAUGACUAUUAAAUUGGGUGUUCUUAUCAUCCGACGAGCAAGAAAAUAUGAAUUUAUGAUUUAUCCAAAAGAUGUGACCAGUAGAGUUACUGAAGGUUCAAACUUUGAAUUUCGUUGUGAGUAUGGAAAAGGAUCAACAAAAA